AUGGACCCGCGGUGCAUUCGGCUCUGGUGAGGUCCGGCUCAGCUGGUCUGAAUGGAUGACCGACCUGAUGGGGUGAUCGGCCGGCUGGGACUGAAACACGGGCCACACUGGGGAGGUUGCAGCAUGGGGGAAUCUUCGAUGUGGAAUGCCGCGUGACCGAGCAAGGCCUUCUGAGUGAAAAAUGCUUUCGGAUCGGAGGAAGGUGUUGUUAGAGAAGAACAAGGACGUUUGUAACUGAACGUCCCCUGACGGUAUCUAACCAGAAAGCCACGGCUAACUACGUGCCAGCAGCCGCGGUAAUACUAGGUUGGGCAAGCGUUUGUCCGGAUUUAUUGGGCGUAAAGCGAGACGCCAGGCCGGUUUCGUUAAGUCUGAUGUUGAAAGCCCCCCGGGCUUCAACCCCGGGGAGGGUGCAUUGGGAAACUGGGAGAAGCUUGAGUGCUGAUAAAAGAGGAGAGUGGAAUUCCAUGUGUAGCGGGUUGAAAUGCGUAGAUAUAUGGAGGAACACCCGUGGCGAAGGCGGCUCUCUGGUCUGUAACUGACGGCUGAGCUCGAAAGCGUGAGGAGCCAAACAGGAUUAGAUACCCUGGUAGUCCCACGCCGUAAACGAUGACUGCUAAGUGUUGGAGGGUUUCCGCCCUUCUGUGCUGCAGCAAACGCAUUAAGCACUCCGCCUGGGGAGUACGACCGCAAUGUUGAAACUCCAAGGAAUUGACGGGAGCCCGCACUAGCGGUGGAGCAUGUGGUAUAAUUCUAAGCAACGCUAAAAACCUUACCAGGUCUUGACAUCCCUUUGACCACUCUAGAGAUACAGCUAUCCCUUCGGGACUAAGUGACAGGGUGGUGCAUGGGUGAUCGUCAGCUCGUGUCGUCAAAUGUUGGGGUAAAGUCUCCGCACCGGGCGCAACCUUUUUUAGUAACCGUCAUUCAUUUGGCUGUGCAAUUCAAUGCACAGGUGCCGAACAGACCGGAAAAAGGGGGGGGAGACGUCAAAUUCUCCUGCCCCCUAUGAACUUGGGGUACCCCCCUGGUUCAAAGGGAACUACAAAGAGGAACUGGCCCGGGAGGGCCAACAAAAAUUCUAAAACUUCUUCCAGUUCGGGAUGCAGGUUGCAAAUUGCAUUCAUAAAGCUGGGAAUCGUAGUAAUCGGUGAUCAGCACGCCCCGGUGAAUUAGUUUCCCGG
rnacentral:rRNA from 1 species